rnacentral:rRNA from 1 species
CGUAGGUGGCAAGCGUUGUCCGGAUUUAUUGGGCGUAAAGGGAGCGCAGGCGGUGACUUAAGUCUGAUGUGAAAGCCCACGGCUUAACCGUGGAGGGUCAUUGGAAACUGGGUCACUUGAGUGCAGAAGAGGAAAGCGGAAUUCCAUGUGUAGCGGUGAAAUGCGUAGAUAUAUGGAGGAACACCAGUGGCGAAGGCGGCUUUCUGGUCUGUAACUGACGCUGAGGCUCGAAAGCGUGGGAGCAAACAGGAUU